UAGGGAAUUUUGCGCAAUGGGCGAAAGCCUGACGCAGCAACGCCGCGUGAUCGAGACGCCCUUCGGGUGUAAAGAUCUGUCAGUGGGGACGAAUAAUGACGGUACCCACAGAGGAAGCACCGGCUAACUCCGUGCCAGCAGCCGCGGUAAUACGGGGGUGCAAGCGUUGUCCGGAAUCAUUGGGCGUAAAGAGUUCGUAGGCGGCACGUAAAGUCUGGUGUUAAAUUCAGAGGCUCAACUUCUGUACGGCACUGGAUACUUGCGAGCUAGAAUGCGGUAGAGGUAAAGGGAAUUCCUGGUGUAGCGGUGAAAUGCUUAGAUAUCAGGAGGAACAUCGGUGGCGUAAGCGCUUUACUGGGCCGUAAUUGACGCUGAGGAACGAAAGCCAGGGUAGCAAAUGGGAUUAGAUACC
rnacentral:rRNA from 1 species